GCGGGUGUGGUGUAUAUGGUUCACUGCUGUUGGCAAUAAGAAUGGGAUAGUUCAGGUUAACAGCAGAACCGGGCUCAACUCCCGGCACCCGCG